AGUCACUGACAUUAGAUACCCCUGUAGUCCCGGCCGUAAACAAUGUGCGUUAGGUGUGUCGGUAACCACGCGUUACUGAUGCGCCGAAGAGAAAUCGUGAAACGCACCACCUGGGAAGUACGGUCGCAAGGCUGAAACUUAAAGGAAUUGGCGGGGAGCACCACAACAGGUGGAGCCUGCGGUUUAAUUGGAUUCAACGCCGGACAUCUCACCGGAUAAGACAGCUGAAUGAUUGUCAAUCUGAAGGUUUUACAUGACUAGCUG
rnacentral:rRNA from 1 species